rnacentral:rRNA from 1 species
AUUGAACGCUGGCGGCAGGCCUAACCCAUGCAAGUCGAGCGAGCGGCGGACGGGUGAGUCAUGUCUGGGAAGCCGCCUGAUUGAGGGGGAUAACUACUGGAAACGGUAGCUAAUACCGCAUACCCUCAGAUAGGCCCAGAUGGGAUUCGCUAGUAGGUGGGGUAACGGCGCACCUAGGCGACGAUCCCUAGCUGGUCUGAGAUGAUGACCAGCAAGACUGGAACUGUGAAAGGGUCCAGAGUGCUACGGGAGUCAGCAGUGGGGAAUAUUGCACAAUGGGCGCAAGCCUGAUGCAGCCAGGCCGCGUGUGUGACGAAGGCAUUCGGGUUGUAAAACACUGUCAGCGGGGAGGCGUUACCCGCAGAAGAAGCACCGGCUAACUCCGUGCCAGCAGCCGCGGUAAUAC